rnacentral:tRNA from 1 species
GGGCUUGUGGUACAGUGGUAGCACGUUCGCUUAGCAUCUCAUUGUAUAUGCGAAAGGUCCUGGGUUCAAUUCCCAGCAAGUCCA